rnacentral:rRNA from 1 species
AUGCGGCCUAUAAAAGGCGCACCAUUCUCCACAACGCAGGCAGCAGCCAACUCCUCACCGACGCACAGUCGCACAGACACAGCACGAGAACAGCUUCACCACUUCCCUCCCUCCCAUCCGAGCCCAAGAAGCAGCAACAAUGGCGGCGUCGAAGGCCACCCUGUCUGCUUCAUGGUCGUGGCUCUCGUGACGGCGCUGCUGGCGGCGCCGGGCGCGGUGGAGGCGGCCACGUGCAGCCCGACGCAGCUGCCCCCGUGCGCGCCGGCCACCAUCGGGAACGCGGCGUCGAGCGCGGCGUGCUGCGGGAAGCUGAAGGCGCACCCGGCGAGCUGCCUGUGCAAGUACAAGAAGGACCCCAACCUGCAGCGCUACGUCAACUCCCGCAACGGCAAGAAGGUCUUCGCCGCGUGCAAGCUGCACCUGCCAAGAUGCUGA